CACACGACUCUCGGCAACGGAUAUCUCGGCUCUCGCAUCGAUGAAGAACGUAGCGAAAUGCGAUACCUGGUGUGAAUUGCAGAAUCCCGCGAACCAUCGAGUCUUUGAACGCAAGUUGCGCCCGAGGCCAUUCGGCCGAGGGCACGCCUGCCUGGGCAUCACGC
rnacentral:rRNA from 1 species